GCCAACCUGCCGUGUUCGUGAUGUAGCCUAAACCCGUCUCGAGCCAACGUUUUUCACCCGGAAGCGUGCAUCUAGCAGUAAGGUGAUAGGCUCGCGUAGCCAAGACCCCAACGCAUAUCUCGCUCCCACCUGCGAAAGCAGGUUCAAGACAUCGCUCACACGACACGGCGGGCGCUUU
rnacentral:other from 1 species